GCCCUUUGUAGGAAUUUCUUCAGUCUUCUAUUUUGCCAGACCUGUCACCUAACUGAGUUCAUUUCAUCUCUUUUUUAUAUCAAGUUUUGAAUUCGGGGAAUUUUUGUAUUAGGUACAAUUUAUCAAAACUGAAUUAAGAAAAAAAAAUUUACAGUAUUAUUCUCAAAAUAACAUCAAUCUAUUUUUGUAAACCUCUUCAUGCUAUUAAAUUUUGCCCUCAAGGCCUCCUGCGAUGAUUGUUGCCAGUGAGUGACGACGUGUUGCUUCUGCCUGAACGUAAAGGACGGGCGGGCGCUGUGUCCCAGCCCGAGUGCACGAGGUUUUUCUUGGCCCGUCUCUCAGUGAUUCCAACCUGUAAAGGUCACUGCUCUCGCGCUUCGACCGACCUAACAGUAGAUGGUUGCCACUGGCACUCAACUAACUCAACAUAGUUACAAGAGGAAACAAGCCACAGGAGAGGGUUUGUCUCUUCAGUUAAUUUUUUUAAAGCGAAGUGACGGGCACUAAAUGAACUCGGGGCUCUCCCUCAGCUUCGGGUUCCUGAGACAAAGGGCUUUCUUCUGCGGCAGGUCUAGCCUGCCUACAGCCGUGUCCCACUGCCGCAGGUUUCCUUGUGGCUUCUCCGUAGUUUUGACUGUGCUUCCAGACCCUUCCAGGUCAGGGCUGUGUUCUUGUGGCAGGGCACCUGGUGGACCCAGGCACGUGAAUGUGGUAUGUGGUUGUAGCCUCAAUCGUGGCCAUCGGCUCCUUGGACAGCCACGAGCCAUUUUCAUACCCAAUAAUGAAAGCUGUGUGCUAGCUUAGAAAUCAAAGGGGGUGUAAAAGCACACAUUCUUUGUUUUAUGGGUUUUUCUCUUUUUAGAGGACAGAGGGACAACCACACGAGGCUGCCAGACUCCUGUCACCUCUACAGUCCCCUUAGAAAGCCAGAGUUUGCACAGAUUGUGGGUAUAACUCCUGUCCCCUUAGGUGUUCUAUCUCCGACCUUGAUCUUUGCCAAAAUGUGUGUAUGCAGAACUAUUUCUGUGUAUUUUCCUUGACACCCGUCUUAGCACCUGUGUAGUUUGUAUCCGGUUAGAAACCUUUUCUAUGGAAAGCUCAGUAAUUCUUAUUAAGAGAUUGCUAUUGUUCAUGUAAAACAUGAAAACAACCAAGUAGAGCCGUGUGUGGAUGAGGGCCCACUCAGCACUGUGCUUGCUUGAGGGGCUCUCGGCAGGAAGUCUCCUUCUGACCCAUAUCCGCUGACCACACCUCUCCAGCAAGUGCCUCUGCCGCUGGCCAGCUCAAGGUUUGCCCACCUGGCCCCGAAGCACCGUGUUUCGGAGUUGGGAGGAACUGUUUGGCAUUGUUGGCAGAAGGUGUGAUUGCCUGGAGCAGCAGCCUUUUAAAUUCUGGAGACCCUGUAGUCCUUUGUAUCUCAGACCUUUACUGAUGUACCAGGUCCCAGAUUCUGUGGCAGGGGAUGGGGUGGGGUGUGCUUGCCAGACGAAAUUUAAAUUAUCUAUCUUUUGGGAAGUGUGUGCUUUCCUGGAGGUCACUGUGAAAACAAACAAACAAAUCAGGACCGUUAACCCCUUAAUGCCCACUUAAACUCAAUUUCAUGUUAGGACUCUUGUUUAAAACCAUUUGUGGCCUGUAUGUGUUCAUCCUGGUUAGAGAGAAAGCUUUAUGACGCUGUUUCUGUUCAACACAUUAACCAGCUGUGGAACAGCCCUUUUUGCACGACAGGCAGGGCACUUCAGGAUUCGCAGAGAGACUCGUGUGGUUUGGAAGUGGUAUUUCCUAUGAAAGCCUCUCACGUUGCUUGUAAAGCUAAUCUAAUUAAAAAGAUGUAUAAAUGUUCUUGAAAAAAAUC
rnacentral:lncRNA from 1 species